rnacentral:rRNA from 1 species
AUUGAACGCUGGCGGCAGGCCUAACACAUGCAAGUCGAACGGUAACAGGAAACAGCUUGCUGUUUCGCUGACGAGUGGCGGACGGGUGAGUAAUGUCUGGGAAAUUGCCUGAUGGAGGGGGAUAACUACUGGAAACGGUAGCUAAUACCGCAUAACGUCGCAAGACCAAAGAGGGGGACCCUCGGGCCUCUUGCCAUCGGAUGUGCCCAGAUGGGAUUAGCUUGUUGGUGGGGUAACGGCUCACCAAGGCGACGAUCCCUAGCUGGUCUGAGAGGAUGACCAGCCACACUGGAACUGAGACACGGUCCAGACUCCUACGGGAGGCAGCAGUGGGGAAUAUUGCACAAUGGGCGCAAGCCUGAUGCAGCCAUGCCGCGUGUAUGAAGAAGGCCUUCGGGUUGUAAAGUACUUUCAGCGGGGAGGAAGGGAGUAAAGUUAAUACCUUUGCUCAUUGACGUUACCCGCAGAAGAAGCACCGGCUAACUCCGUG